ensembl:misc_RNA Metazoa_SRP Metazoan signal recognition particle RNA
GCUGGGUGUGGUGGCUCACACCUGUAAUCCCAGCACUUUUGGAGGCUGAGAUGGGUGGAUCACCUGAGGUCAGGAGUUCGAGACUAGCCUGGCCAACAUGGUAACACCCUAUCUCUU